rnacentral:rRNA from 1 species
CCCGCACGCCGGAAGACCAAGGGUUCCUGUCCAACGUUAAUCGGGGCAGGGUGAGUCGACCCCUAAGGCGAGGCAGAAAUGCGUAGUCGAUGGGCAACGGGUUAAUAUUCCCGUACUGGUGAUAAUUGCGAUGGGGGGACGGAGAAGGUUAGGCUGGCCGGGCGACGGUUGUCCCGGUUUAAGGAUGUAGGCAGGUGAAUUAGGCAAAUCCGGUUCACUAUAUGCUGAGGUCUGAUGACGAGUCACUACGGUGGCGAAGUAGCUAAUACCCUGCUUCCAGGAAAAGCCUCUAAGCUCUAGAUUAUCAUUAAUCGUACCCCAAACCGACACAGGUGGUCAGGUAGAGAAUACUCAGGCGCUUGAGAGAACUCGGGUGAAGGAACUAGGCAAAAUGGUGCCGUAACUUCGGGAGAAGGCACGCUGGCAUUAGGUGAAGUCCCUUGCGGAUGGAGCUCAAGCCAGUCGCAGAUACCAGCUGGCUGCAACUGUUUAUUAAAAACACAGCACUGUGCAAACACGAAAGUGGACGUAUACGGUGUGACGCCUGCCCGGUGCUGGAAGGUUAAUUGAUGGGGUUAUCCGUAAGGAGAAGCUCUUGAUCGAAGCCCCAGUAAACGGCGGCCGUAACUAUAACGGUCCUAAGGUAGCGAAAUUCCUUGUCGGGUAAGUUCCGACCUGCACGAAUGGCGUAAUGAUGGCCAGGCUGUCUCCACCCGAGACUCAGUGAAAUUGAACUCGCUGUGAAGAUGCAGUGUACCCGCGGCAAGACGGAAAGACCCCGUGAACCUUUACUAUAGCUUGACACUGAACAUUGAGCCUUGAUGUGUAGGAUAGGUGGGAGGCUUUGAAGCGUGGACGCCAGUCUGCGUGGAGCCAACCUUGAAAUACCACCCUUUAAUGUUUGAUGUUCUAACGUUGCCCCAUUAUCUGGGGUGCGGACAGUGUCUGGUGGGUAGUUUGACUGGGGCGGUCUCCUCCCAAAGAGUAACGGAGGAGCACGAAGGUUGGCUAAGCAUGGUCGGACAUCAUGCGGUUAGUGCAAAGGCAUAAGCCAGCUUGACUGCGAGAGUGACGGCUCGAGCAGGUACGAAAGUAGGUCUUAGUGAUCCGGUGGUUCUGAAUGGAAGGGCCAUCGCUCAACGGAUAAAAGGUACUCCGGGGAUAACAGGCUGAUACCGCCCAAGAGUUCAUAUCGACGGCGGUGUUUGGCACCUCGAUGUCGGCUCAUCACAUCCUGGGGCUGAAGUAGGUCCCAAGGGUACGGCUGUUCGCCGUUUAAAGUGGUACGCGAGCUGGGUUUAGAACGUCGUGAGACAGUUCGGUCCCUAUCUGCCGUGGGCGUUGGAAGAUUGAAAGGGGCUGCUCCUAGUACGAGAGGACCGGAGUGGACGCACCACUGGUGUUCGGGUUGUCAUGCCAAUGGCAUUGCCCGGUAGCUAAGUGCGGAAAAGAUAACCGCUGAAAGCAUCUAAGCGGGAAACUUGCCUUGAGAUGAGUCUUCCCUGACUCUUUAAGGGUCCUAAAGGAACGUUUAAGACUAAGACGUUGAUAGGUUGGGUGUGUAAGCGUAGCGAUACGUUGAGCUAACCAAUACUAAUGAACCGUGAGGCUUAACCUGACAACACCGAAGGUGUUUUAG